rnacentral:rRNA from 1 species
UAAGAAUAUUCCGCAAUGGACGAAAGUCUGACGGAGCGACGCCGCGUGGAUGAAGAAGGCCGGAAGGUUGUAAAAUCCUUUUGCUGAUGAAGAAUAAGUGUGGUAGGGAAUGACCGCAUGAUGACAUUAGUCGGUGAAUAAGCCCCGGCUAACUACGUGCCAGCAGCCGCGGUAACACGUAGGGGGCAAGCGUUGUUCGGAAUUAUUGGGCGUAAAGGGCAUGUAGGCGGUUUCGUAAGCCUGGUGUGAAAUCCUGCAGCUUAACUGCAGAAUUGCAUUGGGUACUGCGAGACUUGAAUCACAGAGGGGAAACUAGAAUUCCAGGUGUAGGGGUGGAAUCUGUAGAUAUCUGGAAGAAUACCGGUGGCGAAGGCGGGUUUCUAGCUGAUGAUUGACGCUGAGGUGCGAAAGUGCGGGGAGCAAAC